GGGAUUGUGGCUCAGUGGUAGAGCGCUCACCUACCAUGUGUGAGGAACUGGGUUCACUCCUCAGCACCA
rfam:Ictidomys tridecemlineatus contig009424, whole genome shotgun sequence.